UGAAAGCACCCCAAUAACAACUGUGCCUUUUAUUGCCAAAAAUGCAGGUGAUGGUGAUGCAUACGAUGUGACCUCUUCCACAUGCUAGAGGGAGACAGAGCCAUUGGACAGAGACAGCAAUGGAUAAAUUAACUGAACCUAUUGGAUACUUGAGUCAUUCCUUCCUUUGGGGUACUUGUUGCUUGCUGCCAUCACCAGCUGAUAAACUGCCUGAGGGGGCACUAAUGUUGGAGAGAGCCUACCAGGAGGAACUUUGCAAGAUAGACCUUCAAAUCCAAAGCCAACUCUGAAGGAGGGAAAACGGAAGGGAAAACCAUCAAGGGUCAGAGCAUAUUUAAUUCUCUUGAUAUUCACGCAGAUUACUCUUAUUUUAUAUUCUGUGAAACAUUGAGCAAGAUGCAUAGCUUCUCAUCUGUUCCCUCAGCUAUUUAUUUUUAAAAAAUUCAAGGGUUUCCAACAACUGCAGUGUCUUUUUCCAUGAUCAAGGAAGUUUUACAGUCCUGCAGCAGCAUUUGAAUAACUUUAUGGCCAUUUGUCAUCUACCACAGGACAUGUCUUUAACUAGUUUUAUGAGUUUUGCAAUAAAAGCUUUUCAUGACAACACAAUGAAUACUUACGGCAACGAGAGACGUUAAAGAGCAUGUUCUAAAGUGAAGACGCAGUCCACCAAAAGGGAUUUCAUGGUCAACUGUAGAUGUUCAAGGGCCAAAAAGACCGUGAAGAAACUAA